GAUUAAGUUAUUAAGGGCGCACGGUGGAUGCCUUGGCACUAGAAGCCGAUGAAGGACGUUACUAACGACGAUAUGCUUUGGGGAGCUGUAAGUAAGCUUUGAUCCAGAGAUUUCCGAAUGGGGAAACCCAGCAUGAGUUAUGUCAUGUUAUCGAUAUGUGAAUACAUAGCAUAUCAGAAGGCACACCCGGAGAACUGAAACAUCUUAGUACCCGGAGGAAGAGAAAGAAAAUUCGAUUCCCUUAGUAGCGGCGAGCGAAACGGGAAGAGCCCAAACCAAAAAGCUUGCUUGUUGGGGUUGUAGGACACUCUAUACGGAGUUACAAAGGACGACAUUAGACGAAUCAUCUGGAAAGAUGAAUCAAAGAAGGUAAUAAUCCUGUAGUCGAAAAUGUUGUCUCUCUUGAGUGGAUCCUGAGUACGACGGAGCACGUGAAAUUCCGUCGGAAUCUGGGAGGACCAUCUCCUAAGGCUAAAUACUCUCUAGUGACCGAUAGUGAACCAGUACCGUGAGGGAAAGGUGAAAAGCACCCCGGAAGGGGAGUGAAAUAGAACCUGAAACCGUGUGCUUACAAGUAGUCAGAGCCCGUUAAUGGGUGAUGGCGUGCCUUUUGUAGAAUGAACCGGCGAGUUACGAUUUGAUGCAAGGUUAAGCAGUAAAUGUGGAGCCGUAGCGAAAGCGAGUCUGAAUAGGGCGUUUAGUAUUUGGUCGUAGACCCGAAACCAGGUGAUCUACCCUUGGUCAGGUUGAAGUUCAGGUAACACUGAAUGGAGGACCGAACCGACUUACGUUGAAAAGUGAGCGGAUGAACUGAGGGUAGCGGAGAAAUUCCAAUCGAACCUGGAGAUAGCUGGUUCUCUCCGAAAUAGCUUUAGGGCUAGCCUCAAGUGAUGAUUAUUGGAGGUAGAGCACUGUUUGGACGAGGGGCCCCUCUCGGGUUACCGAAUUCAGACAAACUCCGAAUGCCAAUUAAUUUAACUUGGGAGUCAGAACAUGGGUGAUAAGGUCCGUGUUCGAAAGGGAAACAGCCCAGACCACCAGCUAAGGUCCCAAAAUAUAUGUUAAGUGGAAAAGGAUGUGGCGUUGCCCAGACAACUAGGAUGUUGGCUUAGAAGCAGCCAUCAUUUAAAGAGUGCGUAAUAGCUCACUAGUCGAGUGACACUGCGCCGAAAAUGUACCGGGGCUAAACAUAUUACCGAAGCUGUGGAUUGUCCUUUGGACAAUGGUAGGAGAGCGUUCUAAGGGCGUUGAAGCAUGAUCGUAAGGACAUGUGGAGCGCUUAGAAGUGAGAAUGCCGGUGUGAGUAGCGAAAGACGGGUGAGAAUCCCGUCCACCGAUUGACUAAGGUUUCCAGAGGAAGGCUCGUCCGCUCUGGGUUAGUCGGGUCCUAAGCUGAGGCCGACAGGCGUAGGCGAUGGAUAACAGGUUGAUAUUCCUGUACCACCUAUAAUCGUUUUAAUCGAUGGGGGGACGCAGUAGGAUAGGCGAAGCGUGCGAUUGGAUUGCACGUCUAAGCAGUAAGGCUGAGUAUUAGGCAAAUCCGGUACUCGUUAAGGCUGAGCUGUGAUGGGGAGAAGACAUUGAGUCUUCGAGUCGUUGAUUUCACACUGCCGAGAAAAGCCUCUAGAUAGAAAAUAGGUGCCCGUACCGCAAACCGACACAGGUAGUCAAGAUGAGAAUUCUAAGGUGAGCGAGCGAACUCUCGUUAAGGAACUCGGCAAAAUGACCCCGUAACUUCGGGAGAAGGGGUGCUCUUUAGGGUUAACGCCCAGAAGAGCCGCAGUGAAUAGGCCCAAGCGACUGUUUAUCAAAAACACAGGUCUCUGCUAAACCGUAAGGUGAUGUAUAGGGGCUGACGCCUGCCCGGUGCUGGAAGGUUAAGAGGAGUGGUUAGCUUCUGCGAAGCUACGAAUCGAAGCCCCAGUAAACGGCGGCCGUAACUAUAACGGUCCUAAGGUAGCGAAAUUCCUUGUCGGGUAAGUUCCGACCCGCACGAAAGGCGUAACGAUUUGGGCACUGUCUCAACGAGAGACUCGGUGAAAUCAUAGUACCUGUGAAGAUGCAGGUUACCCGCGACAGGACGGAAAGACCCCGUGGAGCUUUACUGUAGCCUGAUAUUGAAAUUCGGCACAGCUUGUACAGGAUAGGUAGGAGCCUUUGAAACGUGAGCGCUAGCUUACGUGGAGGCGCUGGUGGGAUACUACCCUAGCUGUGUUGGCUUUCUAACCCGCACCACUUAUCGUGGUGGGAGACAGUGUCAAGCGGGCAGUUUGACUGGGGCGGUCGCCUCCUAAAAGGUAACGGAGGCGCUCAAAGGUUCCCUCAGAAUGGUUGGAAAUCAUUCAUAGAGUGUAAAGGCAUAAGGGAGCUUGACUGCGAGACCUACAAGUCGAGCAGGGUCGAAAGACGGACUUAGUGAUCCGGUGGUUCCGCAUGGAAGGGCCAUCGCUCAACGGAUAAAAGCUACCCCGGGGAUAACAGGCUUAUCUCCCCCAAGAGUUCACAUCGACGGGGAGGUUUGGCACCUCGAUGUCGGCUCAUCGCAUCCUGGGGCUGUAGUCGGUCCCAAGGGUUGGGCUGUUCGCCCAUUAAAGCGGUACGCGAGCUGGGUUCAGAACGUCGUGAGACAGUUCGGUCCCUAUCCGUCGUGGGCGUAGGAAAUUUGAGAGGAGCUGUCCUUAGUACGAGAGGACCGGGAUGGACAUACCUCUGGUGUACCAGUUGUCGUGCCAACGGCAUAGCUGGGUAGCUAUGUGUGGACGGGAUAAGUGCUGAAAGCAUCUAAGCAUGAAGCCCCCCUCAAGAUGAGAUUUCCCAACUUCGGUUAUAAGAUCCCUCAAAGAUGAUGAGGUUAAUAGGUUCGAGGUGGAAGCAUGGUGACAUGUGGAGCUGACGAAUACUAAUCGAUCGAAGACUUAAUCAA
rnacentral:rRNA from 2 species